rnacentral:rRNA from 1 species
UUAAACGGCCGCGGUAUCCUGACCGUGCAAAGGUAGCAUAAUCAUUUGUUCCCUAAAUAGGGACUUGUAUGAAUGGCCACACGAGGGCUUUACUGUCUCUUACUUCCAAUCCGUGAAAUUGACCUUCCCGUGAAGAGGCGGGAAUACAACAAUAAGACGAGAAGACCCUAUGGAGCUUUAAUUAAUCGACUCAAAGAGACUCUACUAACUAACCGACAGGAACAACAAACCUCUAUAUGAGCCGACAAUUUAGGUUGGGGUGACCUCGGAGAAUAAAAUAACCUCCGAGUGAUUUAAAUCUAGACUAACCAGUCAAAAGUACUACAUCACUUAUUGAUCCAAAAACUUGAUCAACGGAACAAGUUACCCUAGGGAUAACAGCGCAAUCCUAUUUCAGAGUCCAUAUCGACAAUAGGGUUUACGACCUCGAUGUUGGAUCAGGACAUCCCGAUGGUGCAGCAGCUAUCAAA